rnacentral:lncRNA from 1 species
ACAUUGGUGUGCAUAGAACUACCGGGAAAUGGUCACUCCCGUAAGGGUUUUUAAUAACUGUCCAUUUAAAGUAAGGUAGAAGAGUAGGAGAUGCAAUGCUAAGGUCUAUUGAGGAGUAUGUUUUGUUUGCCAGAUUAUAAUACGUGGGCUCUUUCCCAUUCAAAAAACAUGCACCUGAAGAAAAAAGGAACUGUUCAAUCAAGCGACCUCUCGCAUCGCAGCGCGAGUCGCCCCAUAGGUUGCUGUGUGGAUUUAAAUCUCCAAGCACAAGAUAUGGUUCAGGUAGCUGAUCUAUUAAUGUUUGGAAUUCUUGUUUGUCAAGCUGAAAAUGGGGCAGUAUAUAUAGGGAGCAGAUGGUUAUCAGUUUAUUUAGAAGUACAGCUCGAACAGCCACUGCCUCAAGUGGUGUUUGUAGCUGUAAACGCUGACACGAAAAA